CUGGUAUUGAUUGGUGCUUGCAUCAUGAUUUACAUUUGAGUGAGUGGCGAACUGGUGAGUAACACGUGGGAAACCUGCCCAGAAGCGGGGGAUAACACCUGGAAACAGAUGCUAAUACCGCAUAACAACUUGGACCGCAUGGUCCGAGUUUGAAAGAUGGCUUCGGCUAUCACUUUUGGAUGGUCCCGCGGCGUAUUAGCUAGAUGGUGAGGUAACGGCUCACCAUGGCAAUGAUACGUAGCCGACCUGAGAGGGUAAUCGGCCACAUUGGGACUGAGACACGGCCCAAACUCCUACGGGAGGCAGCAGUAGGGAAUCUUCCACAAUGGACGAAAGUCUGAUGGAGCAACGCCGCGUGAGUGAAGAAGGGUUUCGGCUCGUAAAACUCUGUUGUUAAAGAAGAACAUAUCUGAGAGUAACUGUUCAGGUAUUGACGGUAUUUAACCAGAAAGCCACGGCUAACUACGUGCCAGCAGCCGCGGUAAUACGUAGGUGGCAAGCGUUGUCCGGAUUUAUUGGGCGUAAAGCGAGCGCAGGCGGUUUUUUAAGUCUGAUGUGAAAGCCUUCGGCUCAACCGAAGAAGUGCAUCGGAAACUGGGAAACUUGAGUGCAGAAGAGGACAGUGGAACUCCAUGUGUAGCGGUGAAAUGCGUAGAUAUAUGGAAGAACACCAGUGGCGAAGGCGGCUGUCUGGUCUGUAACUGACGCUGAGGCUCGAAAGUAUGGGUAGCAAACAGGAUUAGAUACCCUGGUAGUCCAUACCGUAAACGAUGAAUGCUAAGUGUUGGAGGGUUUCCGCCCUUCAGUGCUGCAGCUAACGCAUUAAGCAUUCCGCCUGGGGAGUACGGCCGCAAGGCUGAAACUCAAAGGAAUUGACGGGGGCCCGCACAAGCGGUGGAGCAUGUGGUUUAAUUCGAAGCUACGCGAAGAACCUUACCAGGUCUUGACAUACUAUGCAAAUCUAAGAGAUUAGACGUUCCCUUCGGGGACAUGGAUACAGGUGGUGCAUGGUUGUCGUCAGCUCGUGUCGUGAGAUGUUGGGUUAAGUCCCGCAACGAGCGCAACCCUUAUUAUCAGUUGCCAGCAUUAAGUUGGGCACUCUGGUGAGACUGCCGGUGACAAACCGGAGGAAGGUGGGGAUGACGUCAAAUCAUCAUGCCCCUUAUGACCUGGGCUACACACGUGCUACAAUGGAUGGUACAACGAGUUGCGAACUCGCGAGAGUAAGCUAAUCUCUUAAAGCCAUUCUCAGUUCGGAUUGUAGGCUGCAACUCGCCUACAUGAAGUCGGAAUCGCUAGUAAUCGCGGAUCAGCAUGCCGCGGUGAAUACGUUCCCGGGCCUUGUACACACCGCCCGUCACACCAUGAGAGUUUGUAACACCCAAAGUCGGUGG
rnacentral:rRNA from 2 species